AUGAUGGAGUUCAGUAUGAUGGGGUUCAGUAUGAUGGAGUUCAGUAUGAUGGGGUUCAGUGUGAUGGAGUUCAGUAUGAUGGUGUUCAGUAUGAUGGGGUUCAGUGGGAUGGUGUUCAGUAUGAUGGUGUUCAGUAUGAUGGGGUUCAGUGGGAUGGUGUUCAGUAUGAUGGUGUUCAAUAUGAUGGAGUUCAGUAUGAUGGUGUUCAGUAUGAUGGUGUUCAGUAUGAUGGAGUUCAGUAUGAUGGUGUUCAGUGUGAUGGAGUUCAGUAUGAUGGUGUUCAGUGUGAUGGGGUUCAGUGUGAUGGGGUUCAGUAUGAUGGGGUUCAGUGUGAUGGGGUUCAGUAUGAUGGUGUUCAGUGUGAUGGAGUUCAGUAUGAUGGGGUUCAGUAUGAUGGUGUUCAGUGGGAUGGUGUUCAGUAUGAUGGGGUUCAGUAUGAUGCUGUUCAGUGUGAUGGGGUUCAGUAUGAUGGGGUUCAGUGGGAUGGUGUUCAGUAUGAUGCAGUUCAGUAUGAUGGGGUUCAGUAUGAUGCUGUUCAGUGUGAUGGGGUUCAGUAUGAUGGGGUUCAGUAUGAUGGGGUUCAGUGUGAUGGGGUUCAGUAUGAUGGGGUUCAGUAUAAUGGGGUUCAGUAUGAUGGGGUUCAGUAUGAUGGGAUUCAGUAUGAUGCUGUUCAGUAUGAUGCAGUUCAGUAUGAUGGGGUUCAGUAUGAUGCUGUUCAGUGUGAUGGGGUUCAGUAUGAUGGGGUUCAGUAUGAUGGGGUUCAGUGUGAUGGGGUUCAGUAUGAUGGGGUUCAGUAUGAUGGUGUUCAGUGUGAUGGGGUUCAGUAUGAUGGGAUUCAGUGUGAUGGAGUUCAGUAUGAUGGGGUUCAGUGGGAUGGGGUUCAGUGGGAUGGGGUUCAGUGUGAUGGAGUUCAGUAUGAUGGGGUUCAGUAUGAUGGGGUUCAGUGGGAUGGGGUUCAGUAUGAUGGUGUUCAGUAUGAUGGAGUUCAGUAUGAUGGUGUUCAGUGGGAUGGGGUUCAGUGUGAUGGAGUUCAGUAUGAUGGAGUUCAGUAUGAUGGGGUUCAGUAUGAUGGGAUUCUGUGUGAUGGAGUUCAGUAUGAUGGUGUUCAGUAUGAUGGGGUUCAGUAUGAUGGGGUUCAGUGGGAUGGGGUUCAGUGGGAUGGGGUUCAGUGGGAUGGGGUUCAGUAUGAUGGGGUUCAGUAUGAUGAGGUUCAGUAUGAUGGUGUUCAGUAUGAUGGUGUUCAGUAUGAUGGGGUUCAGUAUGAUGGGGUUCAGUAUGAUGGGAUUCAGUGUGAUGGUGUUCAGUAUGAUGGGGUUCAGUGGGAUGGUGUUCAGUAUGAUGGUGUUCAGUAUGAUGGGGUUCAGUAUGAUGGGGUUCAGUAUGAUGGGGUUCAGUAUGAUGGUGUUCAGUGUGAUGGAGUUCAGUAUGAUGGGAUUCAGUGUGAUGGUGUUCAGUGUGAUGGGGUUCAGUAUGAUGGGAUUCAGUGUGAUGGAGUUCAGUAUGAUGGGGUUCAGUGGGAUGGGGUUCAGUGGGAUGGGGUUCAGUGUGAUGGAGUUCAGUAUGAUGGGGUUCAGUAUGAUGGGGUUCAGUGGGAUGGGGUUCAGUAUGAUGGUGUUCAGUAUGAUGGUGUUCAGUAUGAUGGAGUUCAGUAUGAUGGAGUUCAGUGGGAUGGGGUUCAGUGUGAUGGAGUUCAGUAUGAUGGGGUUCAGUAUGAUGGGGUUCAGUAUGAUGGGAUUCAGUGUGAUGGAGUUCAGUAUGAUGGUGUUCAGUAUGAUGGUGUUCAGUAUGAUGGUGUUCAGUAUGGUGGGGUUCAGUGGGAUGGGGUUCAGUGGCAUGGGGUUCAGUAUGAUGAGGUUCAGUAUGAUGGGGUUCAGUAUGAUGGGAUUCAGUGUGAUGGAGUUCAGUAUGAUGGGGUUCAGUAUGAUGGGGUUCAGUGUGAUGGGGUUCAGUAUGAUGGGGUUCAGUAUGAUGGUGUUCAGUGUGAUGGGGUUCAGUAUGAUGGGAUUCAGUGUGAUGGAGUUCAGUAUGAUGGGGUUCAGUGGGAUGGGGUUCAGUGGGAUGGGGUUCAGUGUGAUGGAGUUCAGUAUGAUGGGGUUCAGUAUGAUGGGGUUCAGUGGGAUGGGGUUCAGUAUGAUGGUGUUCAGUAUGAUGGAGUUCAGUAUGAUGGUGUUCAGUGGGAUGGGGUUCAGUGUGAUGGAGUUCAGUAUGAUGGAGUUCAGUAUGAUGGGGUUCAGUAUGAUGGGAUUCUGUGUGAUGGAGUUCAGUAUGAUGGUGUUCAGUAUGAUGGGGUUCAGUAUGAUGGGGUUCAGUGGGAUGGGGUUCAGUGGGAUGGGGUUCAGUGGGAUGGGGUUCAGUAUGAUGGGGUUCAGUAUGAUGAGGUUCAGUAUGAUGGUGUUCAGUAUGAUGGUGUUCAGUAUGAUGGUGUUCAGUAUGAUGGGGUUCAGUAUAAUGGGAUUCAGUGUGAUGGUGUUCAGUAUGAUGGGGUUCAGUGGGAUGGUGUUCAGUAUGAUGGUGUUCAGUAUGAUGGGGUUCAGUAUGAUGGGGUUCAGUAUGAUGGGGUUCAGUAUGAUGGUGUUCAGUGUGAUGGAGUUCAGUAUGAUGGGAUUCAGUGUGAUGGUGUUCAGUGUGAUGGGGUUCAGUAUGAUGGGAUUCAGUGUGAUGGAGUUCAGUAUGAUGGGGUUCAGUGGGAUGGGGUUCAGUGGGAUGGGGUUCAGUGUGAUGGAGUUCAGUAUGAUGGGGUUCAGUAUGAUGGGGUUCAGUGGGAUGGGGUUCAGUAUGAUGGUGUUCAGUAUGAUGGUGUUCAGUAUGAUGGAGUUCAGUAUGAUGGAGUUCAGUGGGAUGGGGUUCAGUGUGAUGGAGUUCAGUAUGAUGGGGUUCAGUAUGAUGGGGUUCAGUAUGAUGGGAUUCAGUGUGAUGGAGUUCAGUAUGAUGGUGUUCAGUAUGAUGGUGUUCAGUAUGAUGGUGUUCAGUAUGAUGGGGUUCAGUGGGAUGGGGUUCAGUGGCAUGGGGUUCAGUAUGAUGAGGUUCAGUAUGAUGGGGUUCAGUAUGAUGGGAUUCAGUGUGAUGGAGUUCAGUAUGAUGGGGUUCAGUGGGAUGGGGUUCAGUGGGAUGGGGUUCAGUGUGAUGGAGUUCAGUAUGAUGGGGUUCAGUGUGAUGGAGUUCAGUAUGAUGGGAUUCAGUGUGAUGGGGUUCAGUAUGAUGGGAUUCAGUGUGAUGGGGUUCAGUAUGAUGGGAUUCAGUGUGAUGGGGUUCAGUAUGAUGGGAUUCAGUGUGAUGGGGUUCAGUAUGAUGGGAUUCAGUGUGAUGGGGUUCAGUAUGAUGGGAUUCAGUGUGAUGAGGUUCAGUAUGAUGGGGUUCAGUGUGAUGGGGUUCAGUAUGAUGGGGUUCAGUAUGAUGGGGUUCAGUAUGAUGGGAUUCAGUGUGAUGGGGUUCAGUAUGAUGGGAUUCAGUGUGAUGGGAUUCAGUGUGAUGGAGUUCAGUAUGAUGGGGUUCAGUGUGAUGGGAUUCAGUGUGAUGGAGUUCAGUAUGAUGGGGUUCAGUAUGAUGGGGUUCAAAAUGUUCCAAAUUUCUCUAGUAAAAUAA
ensembl:lncRNA